rnacentral:rRNA from 1 species
AUUGAACGCUGGCGGCAAGCCUAACACAUGCAAGUCGAACGAGUGGCGGACGGGUUAGUAAUGUCUGGGAAACUGCCUGAUGGAGGGGGAUAACUACUGGAAACGGUAGCUAAUACCGCAUACCAUCGGAUGUGCCCAGAUGGGAUUAGCUAGUAGGUGGGGUAAAGGCUCACCUAGGCGACGAUCCCUAGCUGGUCUGAGAGGAUGACCAGCCACACUGGAACUGAGACACGGUCCAGACGCCUACGGGAGGCAGCAGGUGGGAAUAUGGCACAAUGGGUGCAAGCCUGAUGCAGCCAUGCCGCGUGUACGAAGAAGGCCUUCGGGUUGUAAAGUACUUUCAGCGGGGAGGCGGUACCCGCAGAAGAAGCACCGGCUAACUCCGUGCCAGCAGCCGCGGUAAUUC